UACGUAGGAUGCAAGCGUUGUCCGGAAUUAUUGGGCGUAAAGCGUACGUAGGCGGUUCGUUAAGUCAGGGGUUAAAGACUGAGGCUCAACCUCAGGAGUGCCCUUGAUACUGGCGGGCUUGAGGACGGCAGAGGAAAGUGGAAUUCCCAGUGUAGCGGUGAAAUGCGUAGAUAUUGGGAGGAACACCAGUGGCGAAAGCGACUUUCUGGGCCGUUCCUGACGCUGAGGUACGAAAGCGUGGGGAGCAAACAGG
rnacentral:rRNA from 1 species